CGGAUUAAGGAAACCGGCGCACGGGUGCGUAGCGCGUCUGCAACUUGCCCUUAUCAGGAGGAUAGCCCGGGGAAACUCGGAUUAAUACUCCAUAAGAUUUUGAUUGGCAUCGAUUAAAAUUGAAAGAUUUAUUGGAUAAGGAUAGGCAUGCGUCAGAUUAGUUAGUUGGUAGUGUAACGGACUACCAAGGCGAUGAUCUGUAGGGGGCCUGAGAGGGUGAACCCCCACACUGGUACUGAGACACGGACCAGACUCCUACGGGAGGCAGCAGUGAGGAAUAUUGGACAAUGGAGGGAACUCUGAUCCAGCCAUCCCGCGUGCAGGAAGACGGCCCUAUGGGUUGUAAACUGCUUUUGUAUGGGGAUAAAUCUACCUACGUGUAGGUAGUUGAAGGUACCAUACGAAUAAGCAUCGGCUAACUCCGUGCCAGCAGCCGCGGUAAUACGGAGGAUGCAAGCGUUAUCCGGAUUCAUUGGGUUUAAAGGGUCCGUAGGCGGGCUGAUAAGUCAGUGGUGAAAUUUUGUCGCUCAACGAUAAAACUGCCAUUGAUACUGUUAGUCUUGAGUGAUAUUGAAGUAGCUGGAAUGUGUAGUGUAGCGGUGAAAUGCAUAGAUAUUACACAGAACACCGAUUGCGAAGGCAGGUUACUAAGUAUUAACUGACGCUGAAGGACGAAAGCGUGGGGAGCGAACAGGAUUAGAUACCCUGGUAGUCCACGCAGUAAACGAUGCUAACUCGUUUUCGGG
rnacentral:rRNA from 1 species